UACGGGGGGGGCAAGCGUUGUUCGGAAUUACUGGGCGUAAAGGGCUCGUAGGCGGCCCACUAAGUCAGACGUGAAAUCCCUCGGCUUAACCGGGGAACUGCGUCUGAUACUGGAUGGCUUGAGUUUGGGAGAGGGAUGCGGAAUUCCAGGUGUAGCGGUGAAAUGCGUAGAUAUCAGGAGGAACACCUGCGGUGUAGACGGCUUUCUGGACCAUUGUUGACGCUGAGACACGAAAGCGUGGGUAGCAAACAGG
rnacentral:rRNA from 1 species